rnacentral:misc_RNA from 1 species
UCUCCGUAGGUGAACCUGCGGAAGGAUCAUUAUCGUAUAACCGAGGUGCGAGGGCUGUCGCUGACCCGAAAGGUCGUGCACGCCCGAGUGCCCUCACACACAUCCAUCUCACCCCUAUGUGCACCACCGCGUGGGUCCCCCUUUGGCUUGUUCGGAGGGGGGCUUACGUUUUCACACAAACUUUGUAUGCAGUGUAGAAUGUAUUUUUUGUUUUUGCGAUCACGCAAUCAAUACAACUUUCAACAACGGAUCUCUUGGCUCUC